UACGUAGGGUGCGAGCGUUGUCCGGAAUUAUUGGGCGUAAAGGGCUCGUAGGCGGUCUGUCACGUCGAAAGUGAAAACUCAGGGCUUAACCCUGAGCCUGCUUCCGAUACGGGCAGACUAGAGGUAUGCAGGGGAGAAUGGAAUUCCUGGUGUAGCGGUGAAAAUGCGCAGAUAUCAGGAGGAACACCAGUGGCGAAGGCGGUUCUCUGGGCAUUACCUGACGCUGAGGAGCGAAAGUGUGGGGAGCGAACAGG
rnacentral:rRNA from 1 species